GACGUAGGGCGCGAGCGUUGUCCGGAUUUAUUGGGCGUAAAGAGCUCGUAGGCGGCUUGUCGCGUCGACCGUGAAAACUUGGGGCUCAACCCCAAGCCUGCGGUCGAUACGGGCAGGCUCGAGUUCGGUAGGGGAGACUGGAAUUCCUGGUGUAGCGGUGAAAUGCGCAGAUAUCAGGAGGAACACCGAUGGCGAAGGCAGGUCUCUGGGCAGUAACUGACGCUGAGGAGCGAAAGCGUGGGGAGCGAACAGG
rnacentral:rRNA from 1 species